GACAGAGGGUGCAAACGUUGUUCGGAAUUACUGGGCGUAAAGCGCGUGUAGGCGGCCCUGCAAGUCGGAUGUGAAAUCCCACGGCUCAACCGUGGAAGUGCAUUCGAAACUGCAGGGCUAGAGUCCUGGAGAGGAAGGUGGAAUGCUUGGUGUAGAGGUGAAAUUCGUAGAUAUCAAGCGGAACACCGGUGGCGAAGGCGGCCUUCUGGACAGUGACUGACGCUGAGACGCGAAAGCGUGGG
rnacentral:rRNA from 1 species